rfam:Salmo salar isolate Sally breed double haploid chromosome ssa13, whole genome shotgun sequence.
UGCAUUCACUACUGUAAGUCGCUCUGGAUAAGAGCGUCUGCUAAAUGAAAUCAG